GACGAACGCUGGCGGCGUGCUUAACACAUGCAAGUCGAGCGGAAAGGCCCUGCUUUUGUGGGGUGCUCGAGUGGCGAACGGGUGAGUAACACGUGAGUAACCUGCCCUUGACUUUGGGAUAACUUCAGGAAACUGGGGCUAAUACCGGAUAGGAGCUCCUGCUGCAUGGUGGGGGUUGGAAAGUUUCGGCGGUUGGGGAUGGACUCGCGGCUUAUCAGCUUGUUGGUGGGGUAGUGGCUUACCAAGGCUUUGACGGGUAGCCGGCCUGAGAGGGUGACCGGCCACAUUGGGACUGAGAUACGGCCCAGACUCCUACGGGAGGCAACAGUGGGGAAUAUUGCACAAUGGGCGGAAGCCUGAUGCAGCAACGCCGCGUGCGGGAUGACGGCCUUCGGGUUGUAAACCGCUUUCGCCUGUGACGAAGCGUGAGUGACGGUAAUGGGUAAAGAAGCACCGGCUAACUACGU
rnacentral:rRNA from 1 species